UAAAAAAAAAAAAAGGGUUCCAGUCCAUGAUGACAUUAGAGACUUCUGGCUGGCCAUCUUCAGGUUAGAUGGAAGAGUGCCUCUACUUCACCUUCCCUCUGUCUCGCUCACUCCUGCACUCCCAGAGACCCAGGAGGAGCCGCCGUGCCUUCCUGAGAGGUCUUAGGGAUCCAAGAUGUUCUGUGUUUUUGCUUGUGUGGAAUGAGAAGCCAUCUGUGGAAAUUUGAACUGAGAGCAGCAGAGAAGGACUGAGGAUUCCAGGGGGGAGGCUGGUGUGUGUGAAAUACCCUCCCCCCAGGAGACCACAGGCCAGGGCGCGUGGGACUGACCUGCAGACCGGCCCUGUCCCUCCUGAGGCUGUGCGGCCCGGCCCCUCCCCUGGGACUGCCACCUGCCAUGGACAGGAAGACUUCCCCUGUGGCAGUUCCGAUUGGACCCCUCAAUGGGUGGCACUCCAGAUUUUUUGUUUGUUUGCUUUUUACUUAGCUGUUACUUUUUCUUACGCCUUUUGGGUGGAUUUUUUUUUUCCUUUCCUUCACCCAUACCAAGUUGUACAUCUCCAUUUUCUGACCUCUGGGCUUGGGCGCAGCAGGGCUCUGGAGAGCCUCUCUCAUUGGAUGGUCCCAAUCUUCUCCCAUCAUCGCCCUGCUGAGCUUGGGAAGAAAGGAGCUUCUUGUUGACAGAGCCCUGUGGAGCAGGGCUGUGUUCCCAGCCCUCGUGGGCGCAGUGGGGGCCGGCCCUCAGCAGGCACCAUGAUUGCCGGCCUGAAGGAAGGCGAGCUUGCUCUCCUCCCGCCCCGUCCCCCCCAUGCUGUUCCGCUGCGCUCCCGUGCAGUCCCGCCCCAGCCAGGCGCUCCUGUCCCCAUCUGUUGGCAGUGUCUUGUGGAGCAUUUCUUUUUGUGGAGGAAAAGGUCACUGGUAAACAGGAGGAGGAAGGGAGAAAGCCAAAACAAGCCCAAGAUUACUCCAAGUGGAAAUGGGGGGCCCUAGGGCUACUUGGGGUACACAGGUGGCCCAGGAGGAAAUAAAUGGCAGAGGGCAUGGGGGCUUCCCGCAUGCUUUGUCCUGUGGCCAUUGACUGCUGAGUCUGUAUGAAAAAAAAAAAAAUCCCCUGCCUUCUCCCUCACCUUAGUAAAAGCAGAACGGGCUCUGCCUGGCCUGGGGUCCUGCUUUCCUCUCCGCUCUGGGGUACAGGGGUAACGUCGGCAGCCAAGCACCGAUUAUCUGCUCUCCCCCCCCCCACCAAAGGCACGGGGCGGCAUGCAGCCCUCUCAUCACUGUGUCCUUCCUGGUGCAGGAACGGAUGUCCUCCCCCCUACAUCUCACGUAAUCCAAGGCCCCCCCGCCCGGGGGCACCAACAAUUAAAAACAACAACUUUGUGCACUGAAGCCCACAUGCCAGCACCUGGCAGUUGGGGGGCACUGAGCACCCCUUGGUUAGGUAGUGCUGUAGAGCCAGGCAGCUCCACUGCCAGCGUUUCCCCCUCUCCCGGCUCUCAUCUGCUGUUUUGGCCACGUCUUAAGAGUCCUUGACUGCGAAGGCCAAGCUGGAACUCAGCGUCUGUAGCCGCAGGACAGCCCCGGCUGCCACCCGCCAGCUGCUUCCUGUCCUUCCCUCCAGCCUUCCACCCCUGCUACUGCUGCUCUCCCCCGCGGGAGCCGUUCCUGCAGCCCUGGUGGCUUGGCUGUGGUGACUGGGAAAGCCUGUGCCUUCUGCCAUCCUGUCCGUGACCGGGCUCAUUUGCAUAUUCAAAUGUGUGACUGGAUCCCUGGGGAGUCGUCAGAGUCCAGUGCCAGCCCUCCGGGGGCACCGCCCCUGACCCCACCUCGCUGGGUGUCAGCCGUCAUCACUGCCAGAUUCUGGGGAGCAGGUCUGUGCACCCCCCCCCUCUCCUCCACCCAUAAGGGACAGAGACUUCUUGUUUUCUAGCAAAUUCCUCGAUGUGACCACAUGUCCAUGGUUCUCUCAAGAAAUAAGCUUGUUGGCUCCGAGUGUUCACACAUUUCCCUUUUUUAUUUGUCUUAAAACAAGGAGCAGCUGAGGAAAAGGGAGACAGAGGUGUUUUGUUUCUGACAAACUUUAGAAGAAGAAGAAAAAUGUACAUGUGUUUGGGACUGUUGAAAUGCCAAGUUUUCCCUACAAGUGUUUUUGUAAUUAAACUUUUGGUUUUCUUCGUUGUCUUUUUUUUUUUUUUUUAAGAAGUUGAUGGUGGUUGCUUGACAUUUGUCUCAUUAAAACUUUUCUAUGUGGAA